rnacentral:rRNA from 1 species
CAGCACCUCAAGUGGUCAGGAAGAUUAUUGGGCCUAAAGCAUCCGUAGCCGGCGCUGUAAGUUUUCGGAUAAAUCUGUACGCUCAACGUACAGGAUGCCGGGAAUACUGCAGCGCUAGGGAGUGGGAGAGGUAGACGGUACUCGGUAGGAAGGGGUAAAAUCCUUUGAUCUAUUGAUGACCACCUGUGGCGAAGGCGGUCUACCAGAACACGUCCGACGGUGAGGGAUGAAAGCUGGGGGAGCAAACCGGAUUAGAUACCCGAGUAGUCC